CUGGUUGAUCCUGCCAGACCCGACUGCUAUCGGAUUGGGACUAAGCCAUGCGAGUCAACUCCGCAAGGGGUGGCGCACGGCUCAGUAACACGUAGUCAACCUACCCUGGGGACGGGGAUAACCUCGGGAAACUGAGGCUAAACCCCGAUGGGCCAUGGCUCCUGGAAUGGGCUAUGGCUGAAAUCUACAUGGCCCCAGGAUGGGACUGCGGCCGAUCAGGUUGUUGGUGGGGUAAUGGCCCACCAAGCCUAUAACCGGUGCGGGCUCUGAGAGGAGGAGCCCGGAGAUGGGCACUGAGACAAGGGCCCAGGUCCUAUGGGGCGCAGCAGGCGCGAAACCUCCGCAAUGGGCGAAAGCCCGACGGGGUCAGUCCGAGUGGUUCCCGCUGAGGGAACCUUUUGCCAGCUGUAAACAGGCUGGCGAAUAAGGGGUGGGCAAGUUUGGUGUCAGCCGCCGCGGUAAUACCAGCACCCCGAGUGGUCGGGACGAUUAUUGGGCCUAAAGCAUCCGUAGCCGGCCCAGUAAGUCCUCCGUUAAAUCCAACGGCUCAACCGUUGGGCUGCGGGGGAUACUGCUAGGCUAGGGGACGGGAGAGGCGAGGGGUAUUCCCGGGGUAGGGGUAAAAUCCACUGAUCCCGGGAGGACCACCAGUGGCGAAGGCGCCUCGCUAGAACGUGCCCGACGGUGAGGGAUGAAAGCUGGGGGAGCGAACCGGAUUAGAUACCCGGGUAGUCCCAGCCGUAAACGAUGUAGGCUCGGUGUUGGGCUGCCUCAGUGGCAGCCCAGUGCCGCAGGGAAGCCGUUAAGCCUACCGCCUGGGGAGUACGGCCGCAAGGCUGAAACUUAAAGGAAUUGGCGGGGGAGCACCAC
rnacentral:rRNA from 1 species